AUCUUGCUAAUGGCCAAAGAAGUAUGUUUUUCAUACUCAGUGUAUGGAAUGAAACAAAAACGUCCUGCAAGGUCGUUAUAGAGUUGCGUUUAGUCAUUUAUCGUUGUAUUCGUUCAUUUCGAAAUCACUACUGACAAAAGUAUUAAAGAAAAAAUUCGCAGCGUUCUGGCGACGGCUAUUAAUAGAGAUUACGGAAGAAAAAUAGAACCGUAACUGAGCAACGCCCAAUAUUGAGCAAUGAAAUAAGUAUCGCCAAUAUAAUGAAAGUCGAUGUCUACUAUCUCAUAGUGAGAGAAUAAUACAGUAGUUUAUAUAUAUAUAAUAACAUUGAUUUUACUUUGUUGUAUUUUGGUUUUGGAAAACUCUAUACCUCUUUUUUUCAUUUGUAUCUGAUUCAUAUAACUUCAAAUAAAUUUAAUGAUUUCGAA